UGGCGGCGUGCUAACAAUGCAAGUCGAACGAGAAAGUGGAGCAAUCCAUGAGUACAGUGGCGACCGGGUGAGUAACACGUGACCAACCUGCCCUCGAGUGGGGAACAACCUAGGGAAACCUGGGCUAAUACCGCAUAACAUCCUCGGAUCGGAAGAGCUGGGGAUCAAAGGAGCAAUUCGCUUGAGGAGGGGGUCGCGGCUGAUUACCUAGUUGGCGGGGUAAUGGCCCACCAAGGCGAAGAUCGGUAGCCGGCCUGAGAGGGCGCACGGCCACACUGGAACUGAAACACGGUCCAGACUCCUACGGGAGGCAGCAGUGGGGAAUUUUGCGCAAUGGGGGAAACCCUGACGCAGCAACGCCGCGUGGAGGAUGAAGUCCCUUGGGACGUAAACUCCUUUCGACCGGGACGAUAAUGACGGUACCGGUGGAAGAAGCACCGGCUAACUCUGUGCCAGCAGCCGCGGUAAUACAGAGGGUGCGAGCGUUGUUCGGAAUUAUUGGGCGUAAAGGGCGCGU
rnacentral:rRNA from 1 species